CACAGAAAUAGCUUAGUGGUGGAGUAUAGCCUUGCCAAGAUCGAGGUUGAGGGUUCAAAUCCCUCCAGUUGUGA